GAUGAACGCUGGCGGCGUGCCUAAUACAUGCAAGUCGAGCGAACAGACGGGGAGCUUGCGCCUCUGACGUUAGCGGCGGACGGGUUAGUAACACGUGGAUAACCUACCUAUAUGACUGGGAUGACUUCGGGAGACCGGAGCUACUACCAGAGAAUAUGUUGAACCGCAUGGUUCAAUGGUGAAAGACGGCUUUGCUGUCUCUUAUAGAUGAAUCCGCGCCGCAUUAGCUAGUUGGUAAGGUAACGGCUUACCAAGGCAACGAUGCGUAGCUGACCUGAGAGGGUGAUCGGCCACACUGGAACUGAGACACGGUCCAGACUCCUACGGGAGGCAGCAGUAGGGAAUCUUCCGCAAUGGGCGAAAGCUUGACGGAGCAACGCCGCGUGAGUGAUGAAGGUCUUCGGAUCGUAAAGCUCUGUUAUUAGGGAAGAACAAAUGUGUGUGUAACCAUGGCCGUUCUGACGGUACCUAAACAGUAAGCCACGGCUAACUACGUG
rnacentral:rRNA from 1 species